GGUAUCUUUCGGACGACAUACAGCAUGUUGCCUUUUGCAAUUGUUGAUUUUGAAAAUGGUGGAGGAUUGGCAGUGAUUCCAACCAAAUGGUUUAUCGGGCCUGAGGAGGAUGAAUGCUACUGGCCACCAGCAAGAGUUAAAAUUGCAAAGGCGGUCAUAGAGCAACAGGACCCACACUCUGACUGGGUAACCUACAAGUUGACUGUCAAGAGAAAAGCAGGUCUAGGAGAGUGAUUCUGUCCAGCGAGGAAGAAGAUGAUGAUAGCCCUACACCUCCACUACCUCCAUCCACCCUCAGGUCUGUGCUGAUGCCUCCAUUGCCUUCAUCCACCCACAGGCCUACACCUCCUCUGCCUCCAGCCACCCUCUGGUCUGCCCCAACACCUCUACUGCCUCCAAUCCUGACACACAGUGAUGCGAGUGAAACUGAUUAGAAUGUGUACUUUUCAAUCGGCCCGUUUAAUUGUCUGAUUGAAGUGUCUGUGCUGACAUCUCCUUUGCUCUAUCCAACUGGU